AUUCGUCUUCCGUGCUGACGGUCGAUGCAGCUCGCGGUUUAUCAGAAACAUAGCGUGGAAACAAGCCCUUCUGCCACCGAGUCCACCCAGCCAGUGAUCACCUCGUACACUAGCACUAUCCUUCCUACACACAAGCAACAUCUAAAAUUUGAUCAAAGCUAAUUAAUAUACACAUCUUUACACCUUUGGGAUGUAGGAGGAAAUUGGAGCGCCUGGAGAAAUCCCACGCAGUCACAGGGCGAACGUGCAAACUCAAUACAGACAGCACCUGCAGUUGGGAUCGAACCCGGGUCUCUGGCGCUGUAAGGUAGCAACUCUACCACUCCGCCACUGUGCUGUCCCCGACUCUGCACCAGACCGCAUGAAAUUGCAGAGUUUUAGAUGUUGCCUAGUCCAUCACACAGACCUGACUUUCCACCGUUGACUCCAUCCACUCAUCACACUGCCUUGGAAAAGCUGCUAACAUAAUCAAAGACUUGUCUCUCUCUAGGGUGGGAGAUUGAAACUUCACGUGGUCCGCCCUGUUUCGACGAAUGCAAUCAACCUGGCGUGCAGAAUCAAAUAAGAUCAAAUAGAACGAGUUGUCCAACUUUAGGUUGUGUACGCUAUAUGUAACAAGAAGAAGUCCCUCUCUGUCAUUCCUCCUUUUUCUUGCUCAAACUGGUAGGAAUUAUAGAAGCUUGAAAGCAUGCACUACCAGACUCAGGCACAGCGUCCCAUCUGUGAUUAGUCUUCUGAACAAUCCUGUCAUUUGAUUCACCUCUGCCACUGUGUUAUACACCAAACAUUUUGUUUUUGUUUAUUAUUGUGUUUACUACUGCAAGUAAGAAUUUCAUUGUUCCAUUUUGGGACAUAUGACAAUAAAACACUUGACCUCAU